UUUGUGGGACUAUACUAGGUAGUUGUUGUUGUUGUUGUUACACUAGCCACUCAGUCCUCCUUCUUUAUCCAUUCUUAGGAGCGGUAACUGAUAUUGAGAAUUCAGGGAUCUUAGUGUAAGCUAUUUAUUGACUAGUUUUGCACUGGCCACCUGAUCCUCCUCCUUCAUCCAUUCUUGAGGAGGCAACUAGUUUGGGCUUGAAGAGCAGUAGUAGUUAUUAUUGUUGUAUUGUCAAUGAUACUGACAGUGGCAGAGGCAAGAUUUCUGCUAAGGGGUUCAAAAACAAAGAAAGUUAAAAAAGAUUGUAGCUAGUGAGAAUUGAAUGUUCUGAAUCCCCUUGACGACUAAGCUAUGCUUUUGGGAUGUGUCAAGGGGAUUCAAAACAUAAUAUAUAGAGGUAAAAAUAAAAGUUUUCCUUAUAUGUAUAGUGUAAUUUUUGCCCCCCUAAAUCCGCCCUUGGCUGCUGAUGUCCUUCUCAUCACACAUGAUUAUCUCGCUUGCCUCAGUUUGUCCAACACCUUUAGGUUUAGGUCUUCCUUAGGCUCAUUCAGUGCACCAAAGCAUGCAUAAGUUCCAAGAAAGGGAGGGGGCGGAUGGAAUUUCACUCUUUUUCAGGAGAGCUGCAUCCAAAAUGGUGUCAAUUGGUAAUAGAAUAUAGCUAGAUAAUUGAUGCCGCAACAUCCAAAAUAUGUCGGAUGAUUUCAUGGUACACAGUAUUUUAUCAAGGAAAUAGUUAUAUAAAAUUAUCCCUUUUUUCUUCAAUUUACUCCACCUAGAUUGGAAUAUAACAAUUCCUCUGCGCAAUGUUAUAUAGCUACAAUGAGGCCUUCCUUUCUCUGUCUUUGUGGUGAGGUUUUUAAUAGAAGUCAUGGUGUUGCCUUUCAAAAUAGGGUUAUCUAUUUGCUGGGCACCAUUGAAGUCUGUAUUGACGUUUUAAACCGAUUUGUUAGAUUGGAUUGCAUCACUAUAUAUCAAAAUGCUGUCAAAGGUAAAAACUGUAAAUAUAAUGUUUUCAGUUCGUAAUAUCUUUCUACUAGUGGAUUAAACUUCUGCUCUUCAGCUUGCUGAUAAUGAGGCCUGAUCAUGGUAGGGAAUCAGUUUCAAAAGUAUAUGUUUUUAUUGGUUUCUAAAUUGAACUAAAUGAACUUUUCCUUGCCAAGUUUUGGCCUCAAAGUAGGAGUAGUCUUUUGAGUUCUAGUGCUCCUUGCAUAGUGAUACACUCGUUGGUGACAGAACCCUUAGGCGUGAAAUUUCACAGGUCAAAGCGAUAACAUUUAGCUUGGGACUGAACUCCACAAUGGAUUCUGGUGACCCAGCCCAUGAGAACAACAACAACAACUAUUACCCAGUAUAGUCUCACAAAGUGAGGUCUGGUGAGGGUAAUAUGUAGACGAGCCUUACCCCUACCCGAAAGGGCAGAGAGGCUGUUUAUCAUCUAUGGAUUGCCCUGCCAAGCCUCACCCAACCCCGGGUGAGGAGUACGAAAAACUCUAGGAGCCCCUAUCCUACGACUCUGUUACUAGACCUCCAGACUUUCCUAUCAAAGGCCAUGUGCUCGGAAACCUAGCCAUGUCAUGCCUAAUCACCUCUCCCCAAUACCUCUUAGGCCUCCCUCUGCCUCGCCGAACGCCUACAACCGCCAGCAGCUCACAACUCCUCACUGGGGCAUCAGGACUUCUCCUUCGCACAUGCCCGAACCACCUCAGCCUCGCUUCUCGCAUCUUCUCAUCCACUGGGGCCACCCCCACCGUCUCUCGAAUAACUUCAUUCUUAAUCUUAUCUAACCUGGUGAGCCCACACAUCCACCUGAGCAUCCUCAUCUCCUAAACCUUCAUUCUCUGAACAUAAGAGUUCUUCACUGGCCAGCACUCCGCCCCAUCAACAUGGCAGGUCUAACCACAACUCUAUAAAAUUUCCCUUUGAGUUUCUGUGGAACUUUCUUGUCACACAGGACUCCUGAUGCAAGCCUCCACUUUGACCACCCCGCUCCUAUACGUUGAGUGACGUCCCCGUCAAUCUCUCCGCCCCUGAAUCACCGACCAAGAUAUCUGACACUGUCCCUCUUGGCGAUGGCCUGAGAUCCAAUCAUCACGUCCUUGCCUCCUUCACUCGGCUCGGCGCUAAACUUGCACUCCAGGUAUUCUGUCUUAGAUCUGCUUAUUUUGANNNNNNNNNNNNNNNNNNNNNNNNNNNNNNNNNNNNNNNNNNNNNNNNNNNNNNNNNNNNNNNNNNNNNNNNNNNNNNCGGCCCGACGCUAAACUUACACUCUAGGUAUUCAGUCUUAGAUCUGCUUAUUUUGAAACCCUUGGACUCGAGUGUCUGUCUCCAUACUUCUAACCUCUCAAUAACACCGACCCUCGUCUCGUCUAUCAAGACUAUGUCGUCAGCAAAUAGCAUACACCAAGGCACAUCCCCUUGAAUAUGUCGUGUUAUAGCAUCCAUCACCAAGGCAAACAAGAGAGGGCUAAGCUCUGAUCCUUGAUGGAGCCCCAUAACAACUGGAACAAAAUGGUGAAUUGCAGAAGUAAUCUCUUGGAAAUCCUGGUGAGAUAACUCUGAUGCCUUAGUUAGUUGCAGGCAGUAAGAUGUUUCCCGGGGAAGAAAAGAGAGGGAAAUAUCUGAUGAAUGGUUACCUUCAGUAGGGCUUGCAUGAAGUAUAUAUAAGGGACUAAUACAAACUGUGCAAGAUUCGUUACUAUCUUUGUUGAUCGGUUGUGUAGCUGGUUAGGCGGAUAUGUAAGUAAACCGAUCGUGUCAUCCCAACAUUUAGGCGGAUAUGUAACCGAUCAUGAUAGCAUCAAGCAUGUUCUUGCACAAAUGAUGUUAAGACAACAAUUUAUCCCUCAUGUUCAUGGAUGUUUGGUAUUUGUGGAAACUGUAGCUGUGAUAAUGAGUUGGUUAAUGGAAUUCCUUUUCCUGGAAUUCUAGAAAGUUGAAUUUUUGGAGGGAAAAGCUGGCCACUGUUGAAUUGUACAAAGACAGAGGAAGUCUCAGCAAUAAAUCUAAAUCUGUGCUCUUUGGAAAACUCUAGUUUAUUCCUUUCGCGGGGCCCGACAGAUGCAGUCCCUAUCUUCAUCUGUGCAGUAACAUACACCAGAUGUAAUACUCAGGAACUAGGAUUAUACAUUUCUGUUUGCCUUUCAUAAGUUAAUAUUGGGGAUAAUUUCUCUAUUCUUGUCCUUAUCUUUACUGCAUGAUGUAGCCUUUCAGGAUUACUACGUUUGAUUGUAUUGAAGUUUUCUAAUGCUACCUUGUGAAAAUGGGAGACGUCUUCUACUGAAGUUAGGAUUUUGGAUAGUGUUUGUGUUCAAAUUCUUUGACUUGGAUUCAGACAUUUCUUCUCUUAUUAGAAUGUGUUCCUCCUUUACUCACAUCCCAGGAUUGUGUGUUUUAUUUUGAUUGGUUCUC
rnacentral:lncRNA from 1 species